CAGGAUAUAGCUUACACAAAGCCUCUCGCUUACACCGGGAAGACAUCUCAUUAACUAGGAUUACCCUGA
rnacentral:tRNA from 1 species